GGGCUUCGACGAGGCUUUGGGUCACCUCCCACCCGUGUUUAUUUUACCUUGUUGCUUCGGCGGGCCCGCCUUUACUGGCCGCCGGGGGGCUCACGCCCCCGGGCCCGCGCCCGCCGAAGACACCCCCGAACUCUGUCUGAAGAUUGAAGUCUGAGUGAAAAUAUAAAUUAUUUAAAACUUUCAACAACGGAUCUCUUGGUUCCGGCAUCGAUGAAGAACGCAGCGAAAUGCGAUACGUAAUGUGAAUUGCAAAUUCAGUGAAUCAUCGAGUCUUUGAACGCACAUUGCGCCCCCUGGUAUUCCGGGGGGCAUGCCUGUCCGAGCGUCAUUGCUGCCCUCAAGCCCGGCUUGUGUGUUGGGCCCCGUCCUCCGAUUCCGGGGGACGGGCCCGAAAGGCAGCGGCGGCACCGCGUCCGGUCCUCGAGCGUAUGGGGCUUUGUCACCCGCUCUGUAGGCCCGGCCGGCGCUUGCCGAUCAACCCAAAUUUUUAUCCAGGUUGACCUCGGAUCAGGUAGGGAUACCCGCUGAACUUAAGCAUAUCAAUAAGCCCGGAGAAA
rnacentral:rRNA from 1 species